UAUCAAAAAAAAUCAAAGAUCGCAUCUCACUAUAGGAUAAUGCUGUGUGGAUGGUAUUGGACUUGUCGGAAAUAAAUCAUAUGUAUCACCAUAUUUGUGAUGCUGCUUUAUGAGGUGUUAGGUUGUAAGUUCAUCCUUUCAUAAAGUUAAAUUCUUAUUAUAGCAAACUAUCUUUGUUGAAUUGUGAGCCCUUCUUAUCACUGCUACCUGAAGGAUAACGGAGAAUGGAUGGAUCAUCUACAGGUGGAUCUUAAAUAUUAGCAUUGGAAGUGAUUGAUCUGCUCUGUUCUUUCUUCAUGAUGCUGACAUUUUGAGACCAGUCUUACUCCUUAUGAGAAAGGUCAGCAAUGCUAAAUGUAGAAGGAUUGAAGAAUCUAUUUAAUUGAUGAUCAGGGCAUGGAUAGGUGCUGACCAAAAAGUUACAGCUCGGGAUGGAGCUAGUAAAAUAUUGGUAAUGAAAAAGGAGAGGAGGAAAAGAAAAGAGAAGCAUAGGAUAAGCUGGCAAAGGUCUUUCUUGCAAGGUGCACAGCAUUUCCUCGUUUUGAGGGGAGCAAGGUCCAUCAAUGGACUAUAUGAGGAUAGGCCUGAAAACUGACAACACCUAGGCCAGAAUAAUAAGACCUGAAUUAUUGGAGGGGACUUCGCUUGUGUUUGCUCCACAUGCAUAGAUGCAUGAAUCUAUCAGAUGCCUGUCCACACCAGUCUUCAAAGUUACGUCAAAUCAGGAAUAAAAUACGUAGGGAAAAGCAAUCCUGUACCUCCAUUAAGUAGUACAAUAAUGCUAGAUACCAUAACUAGCUUAUCCUCUUAUACAGUUUACUGUAGACUGAUGUUGCAGGGCAAUUAAAAACAUAGAAUUGAAAAUGCCAGGGCAAAUGAGCUAGUAGUAAACUGAGGUGCCGGGUGCGUGAAAGCUUCUUCUAGUCGAAAGAUGUACAUACUUUAAGACUCUUCAUUCAUGAGUAGCAUUUCUGAUUAAAUUUUGCCCCAUCUUUUCGUUCUUACAUUGUACCUACCUGCAUGCUGGGUCCUUGACUUAUUUUAUUAUUGUCAAUAAGUAUAGCAUAACAAUUAUAUUGUCACUAAUAAUUUAAUGUCUGCUUCCUGAUGGGCAAACAAAGGUGACACUUGAAGUCGACAUGCUGAGCUAUCAUGAGAUCAAGUGUAGGUAAAAUAUAUUCAUGAUUGAGCUUUUUGCAUGCUCCUCAGAAGCUUCCUUUUUUAUGGACAUCUCUCCCGUAGCUUGUGUCCUUAUAACCGAACAAUAUACCUUUUAAAGAAAUAAAUGGAUCAAGCAGCAUGUAGAUUGCAUCGUUUGCUCCUCUUUUUUUCUCUCUCUUUCUCUUGGGGCAAACUAGUCAAGAACAUGUGGCACAGGAUAUAUUGAAAUGUACACAUCAUCUGCGUGAUAAAUAUGCUCAAUAGUCCGUACCAUUUAGAAUCAAGUAAAUUGCUUCUAUCUGCUUCUUGAUGUUCAAAUGAUAUUUAGCUGUAGUGUCACUAAUGGCUAUUGCUAGAACUUUCAUAAUAGUUAUCUUUGGGCCUCACGUACAUAGUUGUGGAAGAAUGUUGUUACAUAUAUGCUUAAGAAUGUGGCUCAGAAUAGUUGUUAGCUCAUUGUUCUCUGUGCAGGAAGAGAUAUACAGAAAGCUGACCCAGUAUAUGGAGACCGAGAUCCUUUGCAUAUGAUCGCAGAAUAUGUUUGGUAAAUAAGACAUAUUGGUCCAAGAAGACUUUAGUGAAGCAAGAAAAACUACUCAAGGAAAA